rnacentral:rRNA from 1 species
GAACUGAAGAGUUUGAUCCUGGCUCAGAUUGAACGCUGGCGGCAUGCCUUACACAUGCAAGUCGAACGGCAGCACGGGAGCUUGCUCCUGGUGGCGAGUGGCGAACGGGUGAGUAAUAUAUCGGAACGUACCUAGUAAUGGGGGAUAACUAUCCGAAAGGAUAGCUAAUACCGCAUACGCCCUACGGGGGAAAGCUAGGGACCUUCGGGCCUGGCGUUAAUGGAGCGGCCGAUAUCUGAUUAGCUAGUUGGUGGGGUAAAGGCCCACCAAGGCGACGAUCAGUAGCUGGUCUGAGAGGACGACCAGCCACACUGGAACUGAGACACGGUCCAGACUCCUACGGGAGGCAGCAGUGGGGAAUUUUGGACAAUGGGCGCAAGCCUGAUCCAGCAAUACGUCGUGUGUGAAGAAGGCCUGAUGGUUGUAAAGCACUUUCAAUUGGGAGGAAAAAAGUAAGGCCACGACCCUUGCUCUUGAAAUUACCUUUAGAAGAAGCACCGGCUAACUC